ensembl:snoRNA
GCCACCUGAAAAUCACCCUGACCAUGGCCGCGGGUGAGACUGGCGCCUACAGCCACCAGGGUUUCAGUUCAACCCUCUCCCCCCACCACCACGCUGCCUGGUGCGGGGGCGUGAAACCCAGGCCGGAACAGCU